rnacentral:rRNA from 1 species
GACGAACGCUGGCGGCGUGCUUAACACAUGCAAGUCGAACGGAAAGGCCCUGCUUUUGUGGGGUGCUCGAGUGGCGAACGGGUGAGUAACACGUGAGUAACCUGCCCUUGACUUUGGGAUAACUUCAGGAAACUGGGGCUAAUACCGGAUAGGAGCUCCUGCUGCAUGGUGGGGGUUGGAAAGUUUCGGCGGUUGGGGAUGGACUCGCGGCUUAUCAGCUUGUUGGUGGGGUAGUGGCUUACCAAGGCUUUGACGGGUAGCCGGCCUGAGAGGGUGACCGGCCACAUUGGUCCUGAGAUACGGCCCAGACUCCUACGGGAGGCAGCAGUGGGGAAUAUUGCACAAUGGGCGGAAGCCUGAGGCAGCAACGCCGCGUGCGGGAUGACGGCCUUCGGGUUGUAAACCGCUUUCGCCUGUGACGAAGCGUGAGUGACGGUAAUGGGUAAAGAAGCACCGGCUAACUACGUG